UUGACUAUACAUGGAUGACACGGGACACAACACUACAAAACCUAGGAAAAUGUUAGGCAAAUCCCCUCUGAUAAUAGACAAAUGUGCUUAUCUCUAGCCUCUAGUAGAAAUAGGAAACAUGGUGUAGCGUACACUGUAUUUCAUCGUCACUCUCUCAUUUUCAGUCGCGCUUCCUGUCCCUGCUACCUACGUCUCUGUCUUCGUCCAUCCUUGCGGCCGGCGACCUCGAGCGGUCCCUUGACGACCUGCUCGACCCGCCAGGCAAACAGCUCCGCGGUGCCACAAAGAGCGUUGGCCUGCAUGCAUACAACAUUCAAAUGAGAUACCAUCUUAAAUGGUCGGUACAAACCAAAAACUACCUCUAAAAAUCAAGACAUGGCAUCGAAAUUUCAGAAGAAAAGUAGAAGCAGUUCCUCCCGUCAUAGUGGUGGACUACAUGCUUUGCCCCUGCCGUUGCAAGCAACAUCAAUUUGGAGAAGAUUCAAGCACGAAGUUUGUGCUUAGGCCUCGGACAGGUCGCCGCUUAGGCUUUGGCAGGUCGCCGACAUCACGAGGUGAGUGGUCAUGGUGGCGAGAUCUGGCAGGUACGGGUCGGAGCCUUUUUCUGGUGACUUACUGCUGCCAGGAUCGGUCUUAGACGGCGGUGUCGCGCAAGGAUGCCGGC
rnacentral:lncRNA from 1 species